rnacentral:pre_miRNA from 1 species
AUCCGUGGUAAUGUACUUAUUGUAGAAGCUGUGAUGAAAAAAGAGGAAAUAUUGUCAGGUGUCACCGAGAGUUCUCUUGACCACUUCAUUGGGAAAUAAUUCAUUCUGAUCAAUUAUAUAUCCCACUGAAGUGUUUGGGGGAACUCCUGGUGGCAUUUGAUUUUACAAAGAAUAACAAAGCUCUUACAAGCUUUCCACAUAUCCACCGCCAUGGAU